rnacentral:rRNA from 1 species
UGCAAGUCGAACGUGAAAGCACUUCGGUGUGAGUAGAGUGGCGGACGGGUGAGUAACGCGUGGGAAUCUACCCAGUAGUGGGGGACAACUACCGGAAACGGUAGCUAAUACCGCAUACGCCCUAUGGGGAAAGGCUUCGGCCGCUAUUGGAUGAGCCCGCGUCAGAUUAGCUAGUUGGUAGGGUAAAGGCCUACCAAGGCAACGAUCUGUAGCUGGUCUGAGAGGACGAACAGCCACACUGGGACUGAGACACGGCCCAGACUCCUACGGGAGGCAGCAGUGGGGAAUAUUGGACAAUGGGCGAAAGCCUGAUCCAGCAAUGCCGCGUGUGUGAAGAAGGCCUGCGGGUUGUAAAGCACUUUCAGUUGGGAAGAUGAUGACGUUACCAACAGAAGAAGCACCGGCUAAAUCCGUGCCAGCAGCCGCGGUAAUACGGAUGGUGCGAGCGUUAAUCGGAAUUACUGGGCGUAAAGCGCGCGUAGGCGGCUAAGUCAGUCAGAAGUGAAAGCCCCGGGCUCAACCUGGGAAUUGCUUUUGAUACUGCUUAGCUAGAGUUUGGUAGAGGAUAGUGGAAUUCCAGGUGUAGCGGUGAAAUGCGUAGAUAUCUGGAGGAACAUCAGUGGCGAAGGCGACUGUCUGGACCAAAACUGACGCUGAGGUGCGAAAGCGUGGGUAGCAAACAGGAUUAGAUACCCUGGUAGAAGGGC